rnacentral:rRNA from 1 species
GACGAACGCUGGCGGCGUGCUUAACACAUGCAAGUCGAACGGAAAGGCGCUGCGUUUGUGGGGUGCUCGAGUGGCGAACGGGUGAGUAACACGUGAGUAACAUGCCCUUGACUUUGUGAUAACUUCAGGAGACUGGGGCUAAUACCGGAUAUGAGCUCCUGCUGCAUGUGGGUGGUUGGAGAGUUUCGGCGGUUGGGGAUGGACUCGCGGCUUAUGAGCUUGUUGGUGUGGUAGUGGCUUACCAAGGCUUUGACGGGUAGCCGGCCUGAGAGGGUGACCGGCCACAUGGGGACUGAGAUACGGACCAGACUCCUACGGGAGGCAGCAGUGGGGAAUAUUGCACAAUGGGCGGAAGCCUGAUGCAGCAACGCCGCGUGCGGGAUGACGGCCUUCGGGUUGUAAACCGCUUUCGCCUGUGACGAAGCGUGAGUGACGGUAAUGGGUAAAGAAGCACCGGCUAACUACGUG